rnacentral:rRNA from 1 species
ACGGAGGAUCCAAGCGUUAUCCGGAUUUAUUGGGUUUAAAGGGUGCGUAGGCGGUUUGAUAAGUUAGAGGUGAAAUACCGGGGCUCAACUCCGGAACUGCCUCUAAUACUGUUGAACUAGAGAGUAGUUGCGGUAGGCGGAAUGUAUGGUGUAGCGGUGAAAUGCUUAGAGAUCAUACAGAACACCGAUUGCGAAGGCAGCUUACCAAACUAUAUCUGACGUUGAGGCACGAAAGCGUGGGGAGCAAACAG